AGCGAAAUAGUGUAAUGGUUUAGCACAACAGUCUCAUGAUCUGUUAGAUUGGGUUCGAUUCCUAAUUUCGUCAU
rnacentral:tRNA from 3 species